rnacentral:rRNA from 1 species
AUAUUCGGAGGAAUAUCAGUGGCGAAGGCGGUUCACUGGCCAUUGUCUGACGCUCAUGUGCGAAAGCUAGGGGAGAGAACGGGAUUGGAAACCCCGGUAUUCCUAGCCGUAAACGAUGUCAACUAUGUGUAGGAGGUAUCCAAUCCUUCUGUACUACAGCUAACGCAGUAAGUUGACCGCCUGGGGACUACGGCCGCAAGGUUAAAACUCAAAGGAAUUGACGGGGACCCGCACAAGCAGCGGAGCGUGUGGUUUAAUUCGAGGCUACGCGAAGAACCUUACCAAGGCUUGACAUACACGUGGUAGUGAAUAGAAAUAGGAUCGACCCUUCGGGGAGCGUGUACAGGUGCUGCAUGGCUGUCGUCAGCUCGUGCCGUGAGGUGUCUGGUUAAGUCCAUUAACGAGCGCAACCCUCAUCAUUAGUUACAAGUGUCUAAUGAGACUGCCGGUGAUAAACCGGAGGAAGGUGGGGAUGAUGUCAAGUCAGCAUGGCCUUUAUGUCUUGGGCUACACACACGCUACAAUGGUCGGUACAAUGGGUAGCUAAGCCGCGAGGCGGAGCCAAUCCUAAAAAUACGCCCUCAGUUCAGAUUGCAGUCUGCAACUCGACUGCAUGAAGGCGGAAUCGCUAGUAAACGCAGGUCAGCUAUACUGCGUUGAAUACGUUCCCGGGUCUUGUACACACCGCCCGUCAAGUCACCUGAAUUGUCUUCACCCGAAGUUCGUGGCCUAACCGCAAGGAGGGAGCGAUCGAAGGUGAGGGGGGUAAGGGGGACUAAGUCGUAACAAGGUAACCG